GGUUCUUUAAGCGUACUUGGACUGCAUUAUUUAAAGAAUGGAAAGGAUAUGGUUCUGAUGCCACUUCCAUGAUGGCCUGUGUUGGUCUUUUGUGAGAAAUGUUGCAAAUGGACCACGAAAGAAGUUGAUGCAAAGCAGGUGAAAUUUCAUCACUGACUACAAUGAACUUACUCUGAUGACAAACACAAUGGAAUACAACUGACAGCAGAUCAUUUAUCAGCUUCUACAAUCAACCCA
rnacentral:lncRNA from 1 species